rnacentral:rRNA from 1 species
AUUGAACGCUGGCGGCAUGCUUUACACAUGCAAGUCGAACGGUAACAGGCCGCAAGGUGCUGACGAGUGGCGAACGGGUGAGUAAUGCAUCGGAACGUGCCCAGUCGUGGGGGAUAACUACUCGAAAGGUUAGCUAAUACCGCAUACGACCUAUGGAUGAAAGCGGGGACCCGUAAGGCCUCCGCGGUUUGGGGCGGCCGAUGUCAGAUUAGGUAGUUGGUGGGGUAAAGGCUCACCAAGCCAACGAUCUGUAGCUGGUCUGAGAGGACGACCAGCCACACUGGGACUGAGACACGGCCCAGACUCCUACGGGAGGCAGCAGUGGGGAAUUUUGGACAAUGGGCGCAAGCCUGAUCCAGCAAUGCCGCGUGCAGGAAGAAGGCCUUCGGGUUGUAAACUGCUUUUGUACGGAACGAAACGGCUCUGGUUAAUACCCGGGGCUAAUGACGGUACCGUAAGAAUAAGCACCGGCUAACUACGUG